UACGUAGGGGGCAAGCGUUGUCCGGAAUCAUUGGGCGUAAAGAGCGUGUAGGCGGCCCGAUAAGUCCGCUGUGAAAGUCCAGGGCUCAACCCUGGGAUGCCGGUGGAUACUGUCGGGCUCGAGUCCGGAAGAGGAGUGUGGAAUUCCUGGUGUAGCGGUGAAAUGCGCAGAUAUCGGGAGGAACACCAAUGGCGAAGGCAGCUCGCUGGGACGGUACUGACGCUGAGACGCGAAAGCGUGGGGAGCAAACAGG
rnacentral:rRNA from 1 species